UCAAAAACAUGUCUUUUUGUAAUUUAUUUAAAGUCUAACCUGCCCAUUGAAUAAUUUUAAAAGGCUGCGGUAUUUUAACCGUACAAAGGUAGCAUAAUCAUUAGUUUUUUAAUUGAAAACUCGUAUGAAUGGUUUAAUGAAAUAUUUUCUGUUUCAUAAAAAUUUAUAUAGAAAUUAAUUUUUUAGUUAAAAAGCUAAAAUAUAAUUAAAAGACGAGAAGACCCUAUAGAGUUUUAUAUAACAUUUUUUAUAGUUUAUUUAUAAUAAUUAAAGUUUUAUUAUUUUUUAUAUUUUGUUGGGGUGACAGUAAAAAAUUUUUAUCUUUUAUUAUUUUUUAACAAUAAUUUUUGAAUAAUUGAUCCAUUUUUAAUGAUUAAAAGAUUAAAUUACCUUAGGGAUAACAGCGUAAUUUUUUUGUAGAGUUCUUAUCGAUAAAAAAUUUUGCGACCUCGAUGUUGGAUUAAGGAUAAUUUUAGG
rnacentral:rRNA from 1 species